GGCAUUGACUUGACAGGAAAUGGAGACUCUUUUCUGGAGAAAUAGAUGGGGAGACUGGCUUCUGGGUCAGGAUGAUGUUCUCACUCACUGUUCAAGAGUAAAAGAGAAAAGUGGCACUUAACGGUGCACAAAGGGGGUCCUGAACAACGUAGCAUCCACCCUCCCUUAGGAGAGAGGAUUUGCCUUCCCUCUGACCUGCCCUCCAGAAAGCCAGGCUCCAGAGUAGCUGCACCUAAGUCCCCAGAAGCAUGCUGGCAGGGAAUGUUCAGAGCCCAGGGAAUGGGUGAGGCUUCAGCUUUUAUAGAGACUGGGGGUAUGAUGGAGAUGAGAUAGGGGAGGGGAGCAUGCAAAAAAAAGAAAAAAAGGCCACAGGGAAAUAAUUUGGGUAGUCCUAUGAGGCUGUAGGUUUUCCGACUAGAGAUGGGGGCAGAAAUCCUUGUUAAGAAAUAUUAAUCCUUCUUAAGAAAUCAGAACUAUUAAGAAAGCAACUUUUCUAUCCCUUGACAAUGAGCAAAAGAAAAAGAUCCUGCCUUGAGUCAAAGCAAGAAGCAGCUCUCCAUGAUACGUUUCUCACUGGCCUGACUUGACUCACUCCAGAUGCUGGACUUCUACAGCAGCAGAGGUGAACAUCUGUCAAUAUGCUGCCAGAGAGGCUCUGAGAUCCACAAGAAGUGCAUCAGCCAGGAGGCAUCUGGAUCAAAAGCUGGUGAGGUUUGUGCUCCAGCUGUAACACCACAAGUGACCACGGGUCUUCUUUGAUUCCUCUGGCCAAUAUCCUCCCAGAACACCCAAGGAACCUGUGGCUCUACUCUUCCCUUUGAGGUACAUUUGCAUAGUCGUUGUUGGUGUACAUGUUUUACAUUCUCUUCAGCACUGGAAACUGCCAGAAAGUAAGGAUCAUAGAUUCUAUAACCACAGUCCCGGCCAUGCACAGGACAGUAGACUUUAGGUGUUUCCUUUUUC
rnacentral:lncRNA from 1 species